CCUACGGGUUGCAGCAGUGGGGAAUAUUGGACAAUGGGCGCAAGCCUGAUCCAGCCAUGCCGCGCGAGUGAAGAAGGCCUUAGGGUUGUAAAGCUCUUUCACCGGUGAAGAUAACGACGGUAACCGGAGAAGAAGCCCCGGCUAACUUCGUGCCAGCAGCCGCGGUAAUACGAAGGGGGCUAGCGUUGCUCGGAAUGACUGGGCGUAAAGGGCGCGUAGGCGGUUUAUGCAGUCAGAUGUGAAAUCCCCGGGCUUAACCUGGGAACUGCAUUUGAGACGCAUAGACUAGAGGUCGAGAGAGGGUUGUGGAAUUCCCAGUGUAGAGGUGAAAUUCGUAGAUAUUGGGAAGAACACCGGUGGCGAAGGCGGCAACCUGGCUCGAUACUGACGCUGAGGCGCGAAAGCGUGGGGAGCAAACAGGAUUAGAUACCCUGGUAGUC
rnacentral:rRNA from 1 species